rnacentral:rRNA from 1 species
GAUGAACGCUGGCGGCGUGCUUAACACAUGCAAGUCGAACGAUGAAGCCCAGCUUGCUGGGUGGAUUAGUGGCGAACGGGUGAGUAACACGUGAGUAACCUGCCCUUGACUCUAGGAUAAGCCCGGGAAACUGGGUCUAAUACUGGAUAGGAACGUCUACCGCAUGGUGGGUGUUGGAAAGAAUUUCGGUCAUGGAUGGACUCGCGGCCUAUCAGCUUGUUGGUGAGGUAAUGGCUCACCAAGGCGACGACGGGUAGCCGGCCUGAGAGGGUGACCGGCCACACUGGGACUGAGACACGGCCCAGAUUCCUACGGGAGGCAGCAGUGGGGAAUAUUGCACAAUGGGCGAAAGCCUGAUGCAGCGACGCCGCGUGAGGGAUGACGGCCUUCGGGUUGUAAACCUCUUUCAGUAGGGAAGAAGCGAAAGUGACGGUACCUGCAGAAGAAGCACCGGCUAACUACGUG